GAUUAUAGUGAAAUUUCCAAGAGAUCUUGGGGAGUGGAUGUAGGUGAUGGGGUGCACCGAACCACUAUAUGUUUGUUGUGUUUGUGAUGCUUUUUGCCAUUGUCUAACUUGCUCACUUACUUACUUAGAUAAAUUGCUUGCUUAACUCUUAUCCGCGCAUCCUUUAGUUGCAAGCAUAUUCAAUUUACUUAAUCAAGUCUCAUUCAAUAAAUCAAACUGUUGCUAAGUUUAAAUUUCACUGUGCAUCUAUACAACUUAGCAUAAUUAAUUGAAAAGUUUUAGAA
rnacentral:lncRNA from 1 species